UUAAGCUCUCCCGCUGGAGUGGUUGCCACAGGAACGAGGAAAGCCGAGCUGAGGAUUACAGCAGACGGUCCAAGCAGUUUGAUUAUCUCAGCCUAAAAUCAUUAAUAAAAAGCAUUUUAUAUCAAAUAUCAAAACCGUCAUGUCCUCUGGUUCCCAGGAGCUGAAAGACACUUCAGUGGCCAGCUCCAAAUGGCUUGAUGCUCACUAUGACCCAGUCGCCAACCUAUACACCUUUUCCUCUUGCAUUGCUCUUUCAGAUUUGCAUGGAGAUGGUGAGAAUAAGGUGAGAUGGUG